UACGAAGGGGGCUAGCGUUGUUCGGAAUCACUGGGCGUAAAGCGCACGUAGGCGGAUCUUUAAGUCAGAGGUGAAAUCCCAAGGCUCAACCUUGGAACUGCCUUUGAUACUGGGGAUCUUGAGUCCGGGAGAGGUGAGUGGAACUGCGAGUGUAGAGGUGAAAUUCGUAGAUAUUCGCAAGAACACCAGUGGCGAAGGCGGCUCACUGGCCCGGAACUGACGCUGAGGUGCGAAAGCGUGGGGAGCAAACAGG
rnacentral:rRNA from 3 species